GUGCUCCUGUUAUCAGGUCAUUUAUCCUGUCCCCGAUCCGGGUAGCAGCGGAUUACCACCACUGGUGAAUGUAACACUAUGGAAACUCUUGGAUUCCAGCAGCCGAGCAGGAUAGCAACAGCAGUACAUCCAGUUGGGAGUUCUUACACAGACUGGCAGACUCCUCAAAUAUCAGGAAAAUCUCAUAGUCGAACGGCUUUCCCUCAU